rnacentral:rRNA from 1 species
UUUUAAUCUAACCAGAGGAACUUGUAUUUUAAUUCGAAAUUACCCGGUAAAUCUUACUUAGAUUGUGUUUGUAUAUCGUCGUAAAAAUAAAACUUUGAAGUGUAUAUUUGGAUAUAUUUAAUGGAAAAUUUCAGAUCAAGGUUCAGCUGUUUAAGAAAAUAUGAGUUACAAUACAGGAAAGUAAAAGGAUAAGUUCUUGAAGAAAGAAUUUUGAAAGUGGAUUUGGAAGUAGGUAGAAAAUAAAAAGUUCAAUUGAAUAAGCAAUAAAACAUGC